rnacentral:tRNA from 5 species
GGGUCGUUAGCUCAGUCGGUAGAGCAGUUGGCUUUUAACCAAUUGGUCGUAGGUUCGAAUCCCACACGACCCA